UAGGGAAUCUUCCGCAAUGGGCGAAAGCCUGACGGAGCAACGCCGCGUGAGUGAUGAGGGUCUUCGGAUCGUAAAACUCUGUUAUUAGGGAAGAACAAAUGUGUAAGUAACUAUGCACGUCUUGACGGUACCUAAUCAGAAAGCCACGGCUAACUACGUGCCAGCAGCCGCGGUAAUACGUAGGUGGCAAGCGUUAUCCGGAAUUAUUGGGCGUAAAGCGCGCGUAGGCGGUGUUUUAAGUCUGAUGUGAAAGCCCACGGCUCAACCGUGGAGGGUCAUUGGAAACUGGAAAACUUGAGUGCAGAAGAGGAAAGUGGAAUUCCAUGUGUAGCGGUGAAAUGCGCAGAGAUAUGGAGGAACACCAGUGGCGAAGGCGACUUUCUGGUCUGUAACUGACGCUGAUGUGCGAAAGCGUGGGGAUCAAACAGGAUUAGAUACCCUGGUAGUCCACGCCGUAAACGAUGAGUGCUAAGUGUUAGGGGGUUUCCGCCCCUUAGUGCUGCAGCUAACGCAUUAAGCACUCCGCCUGGGGAGUACGACCGCAAGGUUG
rnacentral:rRNA from 1 species